rnacentral:sRNA from 1 species
CGUGUCGACGGACUGGCACAGGCUGGCAAGGACGACGGCCAGGGACUUCGCAGGAUAGCGAAUCAUCAGGACGAUGAGACGGGAAAAAAGGGAAAAGGGAAUGAAGAGUAGGCGAGGUCAUCCUCGCCUCUUUUUU